rnacentral:rRNA from 1 species
GAGUUUGAUCAUGGCUCAGAACGAACGCUGGCGGCGUGCUUAACACAUGCAAGUCGAACGCGAAAGGGACUUCGGUCCUGAGUAAAGUGGCGCACGGGUGAGUAACGCGUGGAUAAUCUACCCAAUGAUCUGGGAUAACAUCUCGAAAGGGGUGCUAAUACCGGAUAAGACCACAAAGUCUUAGGACUUUGCGGUAAAAGGUGGGGACCUUCGGGCCUACCGUCAUCGGAUGAGUCCGCGUACCAUUAGCUAGUUGGUGGGGUAAUGGCCUACCAAGGCUACGAUGGUUAGCUGGUCUGAGAGGAUGAUCAGCCACACUGGAACUGAGACACGGUCCAGACUCCUACGGGAGGCAGCAGUGGGGAAUUUUGCGCAAUGGGGGAAACCCUGACGCAGCAACGCCGCGUGAGUGAUGAAGGCUUUCGGGUCGUAAAGCUCUGUCAGAGGGGAAGAAAUGCAUGGAUGCUAAUAUCAUCUUUGCUUGACGGUACCCUCAAAGGAAGCACCGGCUAACUCCGUGCCAGCAGCCGCGGUAAUACGGAGGGUGCAAACGUUGCUCGGAAUCAUUGGGCGUAAAGCGCACGUAGGCGGCGUGAUAAGUUGGGUGUGAAAGCCCUGGGCUCAACCC